GGCGCAAGACCAAAGUGGGGGCCCUUCGGGCCUCAUGCCAUCAGAUGUGCCCAGAUGGGAUUAGCUAGUAGGUGGGGUAACGGCUCACCUAGGCGACGAUCCCUAGCUGGUCUGAGAGGAUGACCAGCCACACUGGAACUGAGACACGGUCCAGACUCCUACGGGAGGCAGCAGUGGGGAAUAUUGCACAAUGGGCGCAAGCCUGAUG
rnacentral:rRNA from 1 species